rnacentral:rRNA from 1 species
CUCGAGGCCAGAUCUAGAGUUUGAUCCUGGCUGAGAACGAACGCUGGCGGUGUGCCUAACACAUGCAAGUCGGACGUGAAAGCGGGGCUUCGGCCCCGCCGGUAGCGUGGCAGACGGGUGAGUAACACGUGGGUAACCUGCCCGAAGGUGGGGGAUAACCCUCCGAAAGGAGGGCUAAUACCGCAUAACAUCCCGGGGUCCUCGGGCCCUGGGAUCAAAGCUAGCCUCUGGUUUCAUGCUAGUGCCUUCGGAGGGGCCCGCGCCCCAUUAGCUAGUUGGUGAGGUAACGGCUCACCAAGGCGACGAUGGGUAGCCGGCCUGAGAGGGCGUCCGGCCACACUGGAACUGAGACACGGUCCAGACUCCUACGGGAGGCAGCAGUGAGGAAUCUUGCGCAAUGGGCGAAAGCCUGACGCAACGACGCCGCGUGGAGGAUGAAGGCCUUCGGGUCGUAAACUCCUGUCGAGAGGGACGAAAGCCGGGAAGGCGAAUACCCUUCCCGGUUGACGGUACCUCCAGAGGAAGCCCCGGCUAACUCCGUGCCAGCAGCCGCGGUAAUACGGAGGGGGCCAGCGUUGUUCGGAAUUACUGGGCGUAAAGGGCGUGUAGGCGGCCUUGUAAGUCGGACGUGAAA